AGCAGCCGCGGUAAUUCCAGCUCCAAUAGCGUAUAUUAAAGUUGUUGCAGUUAAAAAGCUCGUAGUUGAAUUUCGGGAUCAAGGAAUCGGUCAUGCCUUGGUAUGUACUGGUUUUAUUGGUUCUCACCUUCUAAAGAACCAUGAUGUCAUUCAUUUGAUGUUAUGGGGAAUUAGGACUGUUACCUUGAAAAAAUUAGAGUGUUUAAAGCAAGCUUACGCUUGAAUACAUUAGCAUGGAAUAAUGAAAUAGGACAUCAGAUUCUAUUUUGUUGGUUUCUAGGAUCGAUGUAAUGAUUAAUAGGGAUAGUUGGGGGCAUUAGUAUUCAAUUGUCAGAGGUGAAAUUCUUGGAUUUAUUGAAGACUAACUACUGCGAAAGCAUUUGCCAAGGAUGUUUUCAUUAAUCAAGAACGAAAGUUAGGGGAUCGAAGACGAUCAGAUACCGUCGUAGUCUUAACCAUAAACUAUGCCGACUAGGAUCGGAUGAUGUUAAUUUUUAAUGACUC
rnacentral:rRNA from 1 species